UACGUAGGGGGCUAGCGUUGUCCGGAAUCAUUGGGCGUAAAGCGCGUGUAGGCGGUCCGGUAAGUCCGCUGUGAAAGUCGGGGGCUCAACCCUCGGAUGCCGGUGGAUACUGUCGGGCUUGAGUACGGAAGAGGCGAGUGGAAUUCCUGGUGUAGCGGUGAAAUGCGCAGAUAUCAGGAGGAACGCCAAUUGCGAAGGCAGCUCGCUGGGACGUUACUGACGCUGAGACGCGAAAGCGUGGGGAGCAAACAGG
rnacentral:rRNA from 1 species